GAUGCCAUUUGGAUUGAAGAAUGCCCCCGCAACAUUUCAGCGUUUGAUGAACCGUGUCGUGUCUGGGUUAAAAGGCUGUGCUGUGUAUCUUGAUGAUUUGGUCAUAUACAGUGAUACCUGGCACUCACAUCUUCAGCGCAUCCGUGCGUUGUUUGACCGUUUGGCCGAAGCACAGCUCACCAUUAAUUUGGCCAAAUCUGACUUUGCAAGAGCUACAGUGACAUACCUCGGUCGUGUGGUGGGAAAUGGUAGUGUAGCGCCAGUCCAGGCCAAGGUUAUGGCAAUAGCUGGAUAUCCAAAACCCACAACAAAGAAGGAACUCCAAAGGUUUUUGGGUUUAGUGGGUUACUACAGGAGUUUUUGUAAAGACUUCUCCACCAUUGCGUUUCCCUCACUGAACUGCUUAAAACCAAGGCGAAAUUUGAUUGGUCGUCUGGAUGUCAGACUGCUUUUGAUAACAUAAAAAUGAUGUUAUGCUCUUCUCCUGUUCUAGCUGCUCCUUGUUUUGAUCGAGCGUUCAUGCUCCAAGUAGAUGCCAGCCAGGUGGGAGCAGGUGCCGUCUUGCUCCAGGGAGACCACCAGGGGGUGGUACCGGGGUUGCUGAUGAUGGGGUAGAAAGCUGCGGGAAGAAUAUUCAGUGCUAAGGUCGUAUAUUAUUUCUGUUAUUUGUUUUUGUUUGCCUUUUGUUUGUUAGUUAGUCCUUUUGAGUAGUGGUAUUUGUUCUGGUAGGAUGGGUUUAAAGUAUGCCGGUGUUCCCUUGGGACACCGACUUUAAGGGGGUGGGGGGUGUGACGGCCCCUGCCUCACUACUGAGAUGCCAGUGUGGAUUUGGCCAUUCAUUCUUUCCCUGUGUCCUUGAAGGUAUCACGGGAGAGGAUGCCUGAUGCAGAGCACCUGAUGCUGGCGCGUCCUGAGUAUAAAAGCCCCAAUCAAGUGC